rnacentral:lncRNA from 1 species
UGAACCAUUCACCGUCUUCAUUAGGUAUACCUAGGGCCCAGCCCGACCCCGACACCUCUCCCUCCUUGUCUUGCUUUCGCCCUCUCUCUCUCUUUUUCUCUCUAUCUCCCUCUCUCUCUCUUUUUCUCUCUAUCUCCCUCUCUCUCUCUGCCCCUUCCUCUCCAGGAGCCCUCGCCGGUCGCAGCCGCCCCCGCCAGUCGCCGUCGCCCCCCGCAUCAGCCGCCCGUGCCAACCUCCCUCAGCAACCCACAUUGCAGGUAGCUCUCUCAGCUGCAAUUAU